rnacentral:rRNA from 1 species
AUUGAACGCUGGCGGCAUGCUUUACACAUGCAAGUCGAACGGUAACAGGCCUUCGGGUGCUGACGAGUGGCGAACGGGUGAGUAAUGCAUCGGAACGUACCCAGAGGUGGGGGAUAACGCAGCGAAAGCUGUGCUAAUACCGCAUGUGAUCUGAGGAUGAAAGCGGGGGACCGAGCAGCAAUGUUUGGCCUCGCGCCUUUGGAGCGGCCGAUGUCGGAUUAGCUAGUUGGUGGGGUAAAGGCCUACCAAGGCGACGAUCCGUAGCUGGUCUGAGAGGACGACCAGCCACACUGGGACUGAGACACGGCCCAGACUCCUACGGGAGGCAGCAGUGGGGAAUUUUGGACAAUGGGCGCAAGCCUGAUCCAGCAAUGCCGCGUGCGGGAAGAAGGCCUUCGGGUUGUAAACCGCUUUUGGCAGGAACGAAACGGUGUCUGCUAAUACCGGGCGCUAAUGACGGUACCUGCAGAAUAAGCACCGGCUAACUACGUG